rnacentral:rRNA from 1 species
GACAGAGGAUGCAAGCGUUAUCCGGAAUGAUUGGGCGUAAAGCGUCUGUAGGUGGCUUUUUAAGUCCGCCGUCAAAUCCCAGGGCUCAACCCUGGACAGGCGGUGGAAACUACCAAGCUGGAGUACGGUAGGGCAGAGGGAAUUCCGGUGGAGCGGUGAAAUGCGUAGAGAUCGGAAAGACACCAACGGCGAAAGCACUCUGCUGGGCCGACACUGACACUGAGGAGCGAAAGCGUGGGGGAGCGAACAGG